CCUACGGGAGGCAGCAGUGGGGAAUAUUGCACAAUGGGGGAAACCCUGAUGCAGCGACGCCGCGUGAGUGAAGAAGUAUUUCGGUACGUAAAGCUCUAUCAGCAGGGAAGAAAAUGACGGUACCUGACUAAGAAGCCCCGGCUAACUACGUGCCAGCAGCCGCGGUAAUACGUAGGGGGCAAGCGUUAUCCGGAUUUACUGGGUGUAAAGGGAGCGUAGACGGCAGCGCAAGUCUGGAGUGAAAUCCCAUGGCUUAACCAUGGAACUGCUUUGGAAACUGUGCAGCUAGAGUGCAGGAGAGGUAAGCGGAAUUCCUAGUGUAGCGGUGAGAUGCGUAGAUAUUAGGAGGAACACCAGUGGCGAAGGCGACUUACUGGACUGUAACUGACGUUGAGGCUCGAAAGCGUGGGGAGCAAACAGGAUUAGAUACCCCUGUAGUC
rnacentral:rRNA from 1 species